UGUAAGCGUAUACCAAAGUUGUUGCAGUUAAAACGCUCGUAGUCGGAAUUUGGCAGUUCCGGAUGUGUGCACGUCGUGUGCGCACUUCGCGGGGAUUGCUUUUGUGGUCUUGCGUAGGAUGAGGCACUUUUAUUAGUGAACGUCCUCACGCAACCACUUUUUACUGUGAGAAAAUCAGAGUGCUCAAAGCAGGCAUUUGCCGUGAAUGUAUUAGCAUGGAAUAAUAGAAUAGGACUUGGUUCUAUUUUGUUGGUUUGUUGGGACUGAGUAAUGAUUAAGAGGGACAGUUGGGGGCAUUUGUAUUUCGGUGCUAGAGGUGAAAUUCUUAGAUUACCGAAAGACAAACUGCUGCGAAGGCGUCUGCCAAGGAUGUUUUCAUUGA
rnacentral:rRNA from 1 species